GCGUGAUCGAUGCACUGUCACGAUUUAACCAUAAGAACUUUGUCAACCUUAUUGGCUAGUGUGAGGAGAAUGAACCCUUUCAGCAGGAUGAUGGUUUUUGAACAUGCUCCGAAUGGAACCCUUUUUGAACAUCUGCAAGUUAAAGAAAUGGAGCAUCUUGGUUGGAGUGCAAGGGUGAGGUCAUUAUGGGUGCAGCUUAUUGCCACCACAAUCUAAAUCCUCCCUUACCUCAUUCAAACUUAAGUUCAAAAGCUAUCUUUCUAACAGACGAUUAUGCUGCAAAGGUUGGAGAAAUUGCUAGCCUAGAGGGUAUCUCUAAGUUGAAAUCCUCGGUGAUGGUGAAUCACAAAAUUCUGAGUUGCCACCUAUUGUUGAUCCGGAAGUGAAUGUCCACAGUUUUGGAAUAUUACUAAUCGAAGUCAUUUCUGGAAAGCUUCCCUACUCAGCAGAGCAUGGUGCUAUCGAGAAAUGGCCGUAUGUUUAGGGUGUUUGGUAAACUUGUAAUAAUGAACUUGGCAGGCCGAUGAAUGUUUAAAUGAUAAAAGGGAGCAUCAGCAACAUGAUUGAUCCAACCCUUGAAUCUCUCAAAGAUGACGAGCUUGAGGUGAUCUGUGAUGUUAUAAAUGAAUGCAUCCAAAUAGAUGCAAGGCAAAGACCAACAAUGAAAGGUACGUAUCACUUCCAAAUUGAGGCAAGGAAUUAACAUCCCACCUGAGCAAGCUACCCCAAGGCUUUCCCCCACAUGGUAGGCUGAACUAGAGAUUUUAUCAAUGGAGAGACAACCUAAUUUCUUUGUCUCAAAAUAGAAAUCCUCCCCCGCCCACUCGAGAGAAAAAAAAAAGCCUUUGUUCCUUGUACUUGGUUUCCAUUUCUUUUUUGGUCACUUUGUUUCAUUUAUACACAUCAAAUUUGUCCAAUCCUUCAAUAUUUUCGCCCAUUCAUCUUUGCCACAACUUCAUUAAUGCAAAAGAAGUGCAUGUUUAUACUUGGUAACAUGGAUCGUAUGUAUUACAA